rnacentral:tRNA from 1 species
CGAGCCGCCGCGCUGCCCGGCGCUGCUGCUUUCGUCAGCGGCCGACGGGCUCGUCGAUCCGGUCUGUUCGCUGCGGAUCGCCUCGC